UCCUACGGGAGGCAGCAGUGAGGAAUAUUGGUCAAUGGGCGCAAGCCUGAACCAGCCAAGUCGCGUGAGGGAUGACGGUCCUAUGGAUUGUAAACCUCUUUUGUCGGGGAGCAAGGCCCGCCACGUGUGGCGGGAAGGAGAGUACCCGAAGAAAAAGCAUCGGCUAACUCCGUGCCAGCAGCCGCGGUAAUACGGAGGAUGCGAGCGUUAUCCGGAUUUAUUGGGUUUAAAGGGUGCGUAGGCGGACUGUUAAGUCAGCGGUAAAAGCCCGGGGCUCAACCCCGGCGGGCCGUUGAAACUGGCUG
rnacentral:rRNA from 1 species